rnacentral:rRNA from 1 species
AUGGCGCCUAUUCACGUCUCCUCCUCGGAGGUCAUCCUCCUGGACGACAGCGACGACGAGGAGCUGCUUGUUAUGAACAUCGCUGACGUGACCUCGCUUGACGACCUUGACUUCUCCAACGACGGCCCCGGCAACAAGAAGACAUGUGCUGUGGACAAUACCUCCUCUCAAGAUGCUGCUGUCGACGUCGACAAUUACUCCACCAAAUCCAACGGCCUUGCCUUCUUAGACCACGACGGGCACAGAUGCGAAGUAUUAGUUUUUUCUUUUCAUAUAACUACAUAUGUUGGUUACUUGUUUCAAAAAAAAACUACAUAUGUUGGUUACACGUAUGUUUGA